rnacentral:rRNA from 1 species
GGGUGAGUAACACGUGGGUGAUCUGCCCUGCACUUCGGGAUAAGCCUGGGAAACUGGGUCUAAUACCGGAUAGGAGCCAUUUUUAGUGUGAUGGUUGGAAAGUUUUUUCGGUGUAGGAUGAGCUCGCGGCCUAUCAGCUUGUUGGUGGGGUAAUGGCCUACCAAGGCGGCGACGGGUAGCCGGCCUGAGAGGGUGGACGGCCACAUUGGGACUGAGAUACGGCCCAG